CUUGUUUUUGAAUUCAAAACAGUGAAAGACACAUUUUUAAAUAAAAAGGCGUAAAAAAACAACCAAGGACAAAUGAUGUUUUGCUGAAACAUCUUGAAAAUUUAUUUAAUAUCCCAUUUCUGAUUUAAUGCAUAUGGUUCUAGUUAAAAUUGGCUCACAGUAGUAUAUUAUCUAUAAAAAGAUUGAAAAAUGAAAAACCCAAUAAACAGCAGUAACUAAGGCCCCAGAAAAGGUCUGUUAUCAUGAAUGUGAGAAUUAAGAAUUUGAGACCUUCAAAACUUUAUUUAUUUUAGUUAUCAAACAUCUAACUUGUUUUUUCAAAAUAUGCAGCUGAAUUGAUCAAAACAACAAAAUCUUGAAAC
rnacentral:lncRNA from 1 species